GCAAACUCUUGUUUCAUUGUUUAAGCGAUUAAAUCUCUCGAGUAGACGCUGUCUCUUUAGAUGCGAGGGCAAAAUAGCACUUUAUGGACUUCCACAGAGGACAUCAUGUUUAAUACGGUUCCGGAAAAAUCCAGUCAGAAGUUGUUCACGGAGUUUUCACAAUAACUGCUUCUCAUGAACCGAAGCUGGACGUCUCCUCCUGAAAGUUGGAUUACUGUGCACUUCUGGAUCACAGGCUAUUCGCAGCUGGACACAUCCUUCUACACUGUAUGCAAACAUGCAACAUCAUAACACACAGUACAAGGAGUCAGACUGGCAUAUGAGGAGCAAAGGAACCCACGCAGUAGCAUCGUUUCACAAUGUUUCCAUCACCAUCAUCAGUGGAUGCCUUUGCCGUCCGUAGCCUGAGAUUUCAGAUUUGCAGCAAAAAAAUUUGAUUUUCUCAUUUAUUGGAAUGCUAUGCAGGUUGUACCUUGCAGCCAUCCAUUACAAUGUCACCAAGCCGUAACAAAAGCAGGAGAGGGAAAGUACAAGGCUAUGUUCCCAAAACACAAAUGAC